AGUGAACGCUGGCGGCAGGCCUAACACAUGCAAGUCGAACGGCCGCACAGUAAGCGCUUGCUCUUAAGGGUGGCGAGUGGCGGACGGGUGAGGCAUACAUAGGCUUCUACUUUUUCGUGGGGGAUAUCGUAGGGAAACUUACGCUAAUACCGCAUAUGACCUACGGGUGAAAGCAGGGGUUGUUCGUACCUUGCGCGACUCAAUGAGCUGAUGCCGGAUUAGCUAGUUGGCGAGGUAAAGGCCCACCAAGGCGACGAUCCGUAGCUGAUCUGAGAGGAUGAUCGGCCACACUGGAACUGAGACACGGUCCAGACUCCUACGGGAGGCAGCAGUAGGGAAUAUUGGGCAAUGGGCGCAAGCCUGAUCCAGCCAUGCCGCGUGAGUGAUGAAGGCCUUCGGAUUGUAAAGCCCUGUUAUUGGGAAAGAAAAUCAGCGUGUUUAAACCCCGCUGUUCUGACGGUACCCAAUGAGUAAGCACCGGCUAACUUCGUG
rnacentral:rRNA from 1 species